GACGAACGCUGGCGGCGUGCUUAACACAUGCAAGUCGAACGGAAAGGCCCUGCUUUUGUGGGGUGCUCGAGUGGCGAACGGGUGAGUAACACGUGAGUAACCUGCCCUUGACUUUGGGAUAACUUCAGGAAACUGGGGCUAAUACCGGAUAGGAGCUCCUGCUGCAUGGUGGGGGUUGGAAAGUUUCGGCGGUUGGGGAUGGACUCGCGGCUUAUCAGCUUGUUGGUGGGGUAGUGGCUUACCAAGGCUUUGACGGGUAGCCGGCCUGAGAGGGUGACCGGCCACAUUGGGACUGAGAGACCGCCCAGACUCCUACGGGGGGAAGCAGUGGGGAAUAUUGCACAAUGGGCGGAAGCCUGAUGCAGCAACGCCGCGUGCGGGAUGACGGCCUUCGGUUUGUAAACCGCUUUCGCCUGUGACGAAGCGUGAGUGACGGUAAUGGGUAAAGAAGCACCGGCUAACUACGUG
rnacentral:rRNA from 1 species